rnacentral:rRNA from 1 species
UGGGGAAUAUUGGACAAUGGGCGCAAGCCUGAUCCAGCCAUACCGCGUGGGUGAAGAAGGCCUUCGGGUUGUAAAGCCCUUUUGUUGGGAAAGAAAUCCAGCUGGUUAAUACCCGGUUGGGAUGACGGUACCCAAAGAAUAAGCACCGGCUAACUUCGUG